UACGGAGGGACUAGCGUUGUUCGGAAUUACUGGGCGUAAAGCGCACGUAGGCGGAUUUGUAAGUCAGGGUGAAAUCCCGGGGCUCAACCUCGGAACUGCCUUUGAUACUGCAAAUCUCGAGUCCGGAAGAGGUGAGUGGAAUUCCUAGUGUAGAGGUGAAAUUCGUAGAUAUUAGGAAGAACACCAGUGGCGAAGGCGGCUCACUGGUCCGGUACUGACGCUGAGGUGCGAAAGCGUGGGGAGCAAACAGG
rnacentral:rRNA from 1 species